UAAGAGGUCCCGCCUGCCCUGUGACUUGUAUGUUUAACGGCCGCGGUAUUUUGACCGUGCGAAGGUAGCGCAAUCACUUGUCCUUUAAAUAGGGACCCGUAUGAAUGGCAUAACGAGGGCUUAUCUGUCUCCUUUUUCCAGUCAAUGAAAUUGAUCUCCCCGUGCAGAAGCGGGGAUAACCACAUAAGACGAGAAGACCCUGUGGAGCUUUAGACGCCAGGGCAGACCACGUUAAGCACCCCUAAAUACAGGGCUAAACCACAUGACCCCUGCCCCUAUGUCUUUGGUUGGGGCGACCAUGGGGUAAAACAAACCCCCCACGUGGAACGGGAGCACUUUCCUCCUCAAAACCCAGAGCCUCCGCUCUAGUUAGCAGAACCUCUGACCUAUAGACCCGGUAAAACCGAUCAACGAACCUAGUUACCCCAGGGAUAACAGCGCAAUCCUCUUUUAGAGCCCAUAUCGACAAGAGGGUUUACGACCUCGAUGUUGGAUCAGGACAUCCUAAUGGUGCAGCCGCUAUUAAGGGUUCGUUUGUUCA
rnacentral:rRNA from 1 species